rnacentral:rRNA from 1 species
CCUACGGGAGGCAGCAGUCGAGAAUCAUUCACAAUGGGGGAAACCCUGAUGGUGCGACGCCGCGUGGGGGAAUGAAGGUCUUCGGAUUUUAAACCCCUGUCAUGUGGGAGCAAAUUAAAAAGAUAGUACCACAAGAGGACGAGACGGCUAACUCUGUGCCAGCAGCCGCGGUAAUACAGAGGUCUCAAGCGUUGUUCGGAAUCACUGGUCGUAAAGCGUGCUUAGGCUGUUUCGUAAGUCGUGUGUGAAAGGCGCGGGCUCAACCCGCGGACGGCACAUGAUACUGCGAGACUAGAGUAAUGGAGGGGGAACCGGAAUUCUCGGUGUAGCAGUGAAAUGCGUAGAUAUCGAGAGGAACACUCGUGGCGAAGGCGGGUUCCUGGACAUUAACUGACGCUGAGGCACGAAGGCCAGGGGAGCGAAAGGGAUUAGAUACCCUUGUAGUC